UUGUCCGGAUUUACUGGGUGUAAAGGGUGCGUAGGCGGCUUUGCAAGUCAGAUGUGAAAUCUAUGGGCUCAACCCAUAAACUGCAUUUGAAACUGUAGAGCUUGAGUGAAGUAGAGGCAGGCGGAAUUCCCCGUGUAGCGGUGAAAUGCGUAGAGAUGGGGAGGAACACCAGUGGCGAAGGCGGCCUGCUGGGC
rnacentral:rRNA from 1 species